rnacentral:rRNA from 1 species
AACGAACGCUGGCGGCAUGCCUAACACAUGCCAGUCGAACGAGACCUUCGGGUCUAGUGGCGCACGGGUGCGUAACGCGUGGGAACCUGCCCUUAGGUUCGGAAUAACUCCCCGAAAGGGGUGCUAAUACCGGAUAAUGUCUUCGGACCAAAGAUUUAUCGCCUUUGGAUGGGCCCGCGUUGGAUUAGCUAGUUGGUAGGGUAAAAGCCUACCAAGGCGACGAUCCAUAGCUGGUCUGAGAGGAUGAUCAGCCACACUGGGACUGAGACACGGCCCAGACAGGUGCGGGGGCGAGAGGGGAGAAAUAGUGGCGGACGGGGAAACGUCUGCUACGGCGGUGUGGGGGGAGUGAUGAAGGCGUUGGAGUUGUAUAGCUCUUCGACGCAGGAGAACAGGGACAGUGCAGGAAAAAUCAGCUCCGGAUAACUCCGCGACAGAGGCGGCGGUAAUAGAGAAGAAGAGCACACGUUAGAUC